rnacentral:rRNA from 1 species
CAGCCGCCGCGGUAAUACGUAGGUGGCAAGCGUUGUCCGGAAUUAUUGGGCGUAAAGGGCUCGCAGGCGGUUUCUUAAGUCUGAUGUGAAAGCCCCCGGCUCAACCGGGGAGGGUCAUUGGAAACUGGGAAACUUGAGUGCAGAAGAGGAGAGUGGAAUUCCACGUGUAGCGGUGAAAUGCGUAGAGAUGUGGAGGAACAUCAGUGGCGAAGGCGACUCUCUGGUCUGUAACUGACGCUGAUGCACGAAAGCUAGGGGAGCAAACAGGAUUAGAUACCCCCGUAGUCCCUGUCUCUUAUAA